rnacentral:rRNA from 1 species
AAGCGCUUGUGACCAGACUUGUGCCCGGCGGAUCAACCAGCGUUCUCGCUGGUGCACUCCUCCGGGCUCAGGCCAGCAUCGGUUUUCAUAGGGGGAUAAAGGCCUUGGGAAUGUGGCUCUCUCCGGGGAGUGUUAUAGCCCAAGGUGCCAUGCAGCCCACCUGGACCGGGGACCGCGCUCCGGCUAGGAUGCUGGCGUAAUGGUUGUAAGCGA